AAUUCCGCGAAAAUUGGCAGCACCUUGUCAAAGCGUAGCUGACAGCCCCUUGAGAUUAAAAAAAUUGCAGGAGCAGUAAAAUUAAUCUGAAAAAUAGAGAAAAACACUGUAAUAAAUAUACCAAAAUUCAACCUAUCCAAAAAGAUUCUGAAAGAAUUGAAAAGAAAAACAUAAUUGCAAUUGAUAAAACUAGAAAAUUCAGUAAAAUUCCAAGGAGAAAAUGAGACCAUUGGUAUAAAGCUAUCGAUCGAGAUUACAGAGAAGCAUAAUUGAGAACAAACUUUUUUUAGAAUCAGAGUGAUUUGAGUACUUUAAUUUGUUAGAUUAAAAUGUAAAUACUCCGAAACUACUUGAAAAUAAUGAAUAGCAAUUCUCAUACUCAAAUGUCAAGUAAUAUGAAAAAAAAUCAAAUAUAUUGAGAGAGACAACAGUAAUUGAAAGAAGUAGAAUGAAGAUGAAAAGAACGUACUUCAGCAAAAAUUGAGAUUGUAUUAUAAAUGCAAUAUUCCAAGAAAACUGGGUUUCCUCGUUCUGAGUGGAUGGACAGUGUGAAGUGGGUAUAACCCAAUCAUAUACUAGUAAUUUUUAGU
rnacentral:lncRNA from 1 species